rnacentral:rRNA from 1 species
CCUAAGGAUGGGUCUGCGGCCUAUCAGGUAGUAGUGGGUGUAGCGUACCUACUAGCCUACGACGGGUACGGGUUGUGAGAGCAAGAGCCCGGAGAUGGAUUCUGAGACACGAAUCCAGGCCCUACGGGGUGCAGCAGGCGCGAAAACUUUACAAUGCUGGAAACAGCGAUAAGGGGACCUCGAGUGCCAGGUUACAAAUCUGGCUGUCGUGAUGCCUAAAAAGCAUUGCAUAGCAAGGGCCGGGCAAGACCGGUGCCAGCCGCCGCGGUAACACCGGCGGCUCGAGUGGUAACCGUUAUUAUUGGGUCUAAAGGGUCUGUAGCCGGCCGGAUAAGUCUCUUGGGAAAUCUGGCAGCUUAACUGUCAGGCUUUCAGGGGAUACUGUCUGGCUCGAGGCCGGGAGAGGUGAGAGGUACUUCAGGGGUAGGGGUGAAAU